rnacentral:misc_RNA from 1 species
UUGGAAGCAAAGCGUAGUGAACU